rnacentral:rRNA from 1 species
UUGGAGGGCAAGUCUGGUGCCAGCAGCCGCGGUAAUUCCAGCUCCAAUAGCGUAUAUUAAAGUUGUUGCAGUUAAAAAGCUCGUAGUUGAAUUUCGGGAUCAAUAUGUUGGUCGUGCCUUGGUACGUACUAAUUUAUUGGUUUCUUCCUUCUGACGAACCAUGAUGUCAUUAAUUUGGUGUCUUGGGGAAUCAGGACUGUUACUUUGAAAAAAUUAGAGUGUUUAAAGCAGGCUCACGCUUGAAUACAUUAGCAUGGAAUAAUGAAAUAGGACGUUUGAUUCUAUUUUGUUGGUUUCUAGGAUCGACGUAAUGAUUAAUAGGGAUAGUUGGGGGCAUUAGUAUUCAAUUGUCAGAGGUGAAAUUCUUGGAUUUAUUGAAGACUAACUACUGCGAAAGCAUUUGCCAAGGAUGUUUUCAUUAAUCAAGAACGAAAGUUAGGGGAUCGAAGACGAUCAGAUACCGUCGUAGUCUUAACCAUAAACUAUGCCGACUAGGGAUCGGAUGAUGUUAAUUUUUUAAUGACUCAUUCGGCGCCUUACGGGAAAC